rnacentral:tRNA from 1 species
GCCUGGGUGGCUCAGUUGGUUAAGCGUCUGACUUCAGCUCAGGUCAUACUCUCGCAGUCCGUGGGUUCGAGCCCCAUGUCAGGCU